GGUGGAUCCUCUGUCUUCAAAACGUUAUGUUGUAAUUACUACAUUUUCACUCCAUGCCUAUUCUAGACCCACAUCACCAGUCCUCACCUCUACCACCGUAUCUCUCUAAGCCCCAGAAGUAGAGGGUCACUUGGGCAGGAAGUCGUCCACCUUCAGGUUGCCCACGUACCAGAAGUUCAGGCUGAGAAACAUGAUGAUGGUUCUGGAGAAGACCAAGAGGUCCCAGAAGCUGAAGGGAGCAAAGAUGCCCAGGAAGAACAGAAUGAGGCCUGUAGCGUCCAGGAAGAUGGAUGUGAAGAAGAGAAGGCAGCGACCCAGCUGAGUGUCGGUACAGGUGCUGAGUGUCGGUACAGGUGCUGAGUGUCGGUAAAGGUGCUGAGUGUCGGUACAGGUGCUGAGUGUCGGUACAGGUGCUGUGUGUCGGUACAGGUGCUGAGUGUCGGUACAGGUGCUGAGUGUCGGUACAGGUGCUGAGUGUCGGUACAG
ensembl:lncRNA